rnacentral:rRNA from 1 species
UUGAACGCUGGCGGCAGGCCUAACACAUGCAAGUCGAACGGUAACAGGAAGCAGCUUGCUGCUUUGCUGACGAGUGGCGGACGGGUGAGUAAUGUCUGGGAAACUGCCUGAUGGAGGGGGAUAACUACUGGAAACGGUAGCUAAUACCGCAUAACGUCGCAAGACCAAAGAGGGGGACCUUCGGGCCUCUUGCCAUCGGAUGUGCCCAGAUGGGAUUAGCUUGUUGGUGGGGUAACGGCUCACCAAGGCGACGAUCCCUAGCUGGUCUGAGAGGAUGACCAGCCACACUGGAACUGAGACACGGUCCAGACUCCUACGGGAGGCAGCAGUGGGGAAUAUUGCACAAAGGGCGCAAGCCUGAUGCAGCCAUGCCGCGUGUAUGAAGAAGGCCUUCGGGUUGUAAAGUACUUUCAGCGGGGAGGAAGGGAGUAAAGUUAAUACCUUUACUCAUUGACGUUACCCGCAGAAGAAGCACCGGCUAACUCCGUG